GAUGAACGCUGGCGGCGUGCCUAAUACAUGCAAGUCGAGCGAACAGACGAGGAGCUUGCUCCUCUGACGUUAGCGGCGGACGGGUGAGUCACACGUGGAUACCCUCCCUAUCAGACUGGGAUACCUUCGGGACACCGGCGCUAAUACCGGAUAAUCUAUUGAACCGCCUUGUUCAAUAGUAAAAGACGGUUUUGCUGUCUCUUAUCGAUGGCUCCCAGCCGCAUUAGAUAGUUGUUAAGGUCACGGCUUACCAAGGCAACGAUGCGUAGACGACCUGCGAGGGUGAUCGGCCACACGGGAACUGAGACGCGGUCCAGACUCCUACGGGAGGCAGCAGUAUGGAAUCUGCCGCAAUGGUCGAAAGCCUGACGGAGCAACGCCGCGUGAGUGAUGAAGGUCUUCGGAGCGGAAAACUCGGUUAUUAGGGAAGAACAAAUGUGUAAGGAACUAUGCACGACGUGACGGUACCUAAUCAGAAAGCCACGGCUAACUACGUG
rnacentral:rRNA from 1 species